UCCUGCGCUCUAUGCAGACAUACGUCAUUUCCUUCACGUUCCGGUUUGCGCUAUGUGUUUCAUCCGGCUAAGAAGUUCCAGGUAUUGGCCGCGAAUAAACAGUUGCCGGAGCUGAAGAACGGAAAAUCAGAGAGCGAAGGUGUUUCUGUGCGAGCAGAGGAUAGCGAUGGCCUUGAUAUAGGAUGGCUGCCUGCUUUUCCUCAUGUUCUGGUUGCUUCCAUGUCUAAUUUUCUCUUCGGUUACCACAUAGGAGUAAUGAAUGGUCCUAUUAUUUCUGUUGCUCGAGAACUUGGCUUUGAUGGUAACCCAAUCCUUGAGGGACUUGUUGUGAGCAUUUUUAUUGUUGGUGCAUUUCUUGGAAGUAUAAGCUCUGGUUCGCUGCUUGAUAAACUAGGCUUUAGGCGUACUUUUCAAAUUGCCACAAUACCAUUGAUUGUUGGUGGGCUGUUGAGUGCUCAAGCGCAUACGUUGGAUGAAAUACUUUGGGGGAGAUUUCUUGUUGGCCUUGGCAUUGGAGUUAAUACAGUACUUGUUCCAAUAUAUAUUUCUGAGGUUGCUCCAACAAAGUAUAGAGGAACACUUGGGGGCCUAUGUCAGAUUGGAACGUGUCUUGGAAUUAUUGCUUCUCUGUUUCUGGGAAUUCCAUCAGAGGGCGAUCCACAUUGGUGGAGAACAAUUCUCUAUAUUGCAAGUCUUCCGGGAUUCUUUAUUGCAUUUGGCAUGCAGUUUGCAGUUGAGAGUCCACGCUGGCUAAGCAAGGCUGGACGAGUUGAUGAAAGCAGAGUUGUUAUUAGCAACCUAUGGGGAGAAUCUGAAGUUGAAAGAGCUGUUGAAGAGUUCCAGUCCGUUAUAAGGAACGAUGGAAGUGAUUUGAACAGUGAAUGGUCGGAGCUUCUCGAGGAACCGAACUUUAGAGUGGCAUGCAUUGGAGGUGCCCUUUUCUUCCUUCAACAGUUUGCUGGCAUAAAUGGAGUUCUUUAUUUUUCUUCGUUAACCUUUCAAGACGUUGGAAUCACAAAUGGUGCUUUAGCAAGUUUAGUUAUUGGAAUUACCAACUUCGCUGGUGCGCUCUGUGCGUUGUACUUGAUGGAUAAGCAAGGGAGGCAGAGGCUUUUAAUUGGAAGCUAUUUGGGAAUGGCAGUUUCAAUGUUGCUUAUUGUCUCUACCAUUAGUUUCCAGCUUGAUGAAGAACUGAGUCACAACUUAUCGAUAGUAGGAACUAUUGCUUAUAUCUUUUCCUUCGCAAUCGGAGCCGGUCCAGUGACGGGUAUUAUUAUACCCGAGCUUAGCAGCAACCGAGCGCGUGGUAAGAUCAUGGGAUUCAGCCUUGCAGUUCACUGGGUAUGCAAUUUCUCAGUGGGACUGUUCUUUCUCGACUUGGUCCAAACAUUUGGAGUUGCUCCAGUUUAUGCUAGCUUUGGUGCAUUCUCCUUGGUGGCAGCCAUAUUUUCCAAGUACUUCUUAGUGGAAACUAAAGGGAGGUCUUUGGAGGAGAUCGAGAUGGCACUAAAUCCCAACUUCCAUGGCAGCGACAAGUAAUGCAGAGAUUGACCCUGGCCACUUUGCUGGGACUAAUGAAGAGCAGUUAAAAGAGGCGAGAUUCUCUGUCUGUCUCCUCACCUGCAAGACGAACCCAGACGGAGUGGGGAGCCUUUUUUAAAGGGCUUGUUUGGGAAGGCAUGUAUCAGAAAGCGGCUGUUUGGACACUGGUUUGUGGACUUGACUAGAACCCAGACAGGGCCACACUCCAAACCUGGAUAUGGAUGGCAUUUGAAAACUGAUGUAGAGAUGAUUCAAAGUUGCAAGUUUCAAAAUUUUGAGUGGGUUUUUAAACGGAAAUCACAGGUAAGGUAAGCGUAUAAGGCAGAGAGCGGCGGUUUUGGAAGCGGAAGGCGAGGGGCUCUUAGUCCAAGGUGAGGAAGAGAGGAAGAAACUCAAAUACCCAUGAACAAUAUGAUUGCUGUUUCGAGUUUUGAUCUGUCAAUGUACACUUAAGAACGAAGAGACCCCACCCGUGUGGGCCCCGGUUACGCACGCUCCAUGCUUGGGGUUUAAAACUCGGUCAAAUUUUAUGUUCGGCUUCGCGGGGUUCGAGAGAGAUUCCGAUGGAGAAUUUGUAGGGAUCGAGUUUUUCGUGUAGAAAAUUUAUUUGAUGUUGUUAUUUUCUUGUUUCUUCUC